GUGCCAGCAGCCGCGGUAAUUCCAGCUCCAAUAGCGUAUAUUAAAGUUGUUGUGGUUAAAAAGCUCGUAGUUGAACCUUGGGCCUGGCUGGCCGGUCCGCCUCACCGCGUGCACUGGUCCGGCCGGGCCUUUCCCUCUGUGGAACCCCAUACCCUUCACUGGGCGUGGCGGGGAAACAGGACAUUUACUUUGAAAAAAUUAGAGUGCUCCAGGCAGGCCUAUGCUCGAAUACAUUAGCAUGGAAUAAUAAAAUAGGACGCGCGGUUCUAUUUUGUUGGUUUAUAGGACCGCCGUAAUGAUUAAUAGGGACAGUCGGGGGCAUCAGUAUUCAACUGUCAGAGGUGAAAUUCUUGGAUCAGUUGAAGACUAACUACUGCGAAAGCAUUUGCCAAGGAUGUUUUCAUUAAUCAGGAACGAAAGUUAGGGGAUCGAAGACGAUCAGAUACCGUCGUAGUCUUAACCAUAAACUAUGCCGACUAGGGAUCGGACGGUGUUAUUCAUGACCCGUUCGGCACCUUACGAGAAAUCAAAGUGCUUGGGCUCCAGGGGGAGUAUGGUCGCAAGGCUGAAACUUAAAGAAAUUGACGGAAGGGCACCACCAGGGGUGGAGCCUGCGGCUUAAUUUGACUCAACACGGGGAAACUCACCAGGUCCAGACACAAUAAGGAUUGACAGAUUGAGAGCUCUUUCUUGAUUUUGUGGGUGGUGGUGCAUGGCCGUUCUUAGUUGGUGGGGUGACUUGUCUGCUUAAAUUGCGAUAACGAACGAGACCUUAACCUGCUAAAUAGCCCGCAU
rnacentral:rRNA from 1 species